CUCCCGGGGUAGGGGCGCCCCCUCCCUCCGGUGGCCGGCGAAGGAAGUCGGUCCGCGGCCGCAGAUCCCGGCAACUUGCGAACCGGGAAAAGUUUGCGGCGCCUCCGCGGGGCGGCGCGACGCGGCCCGCCCCUCGCGUCCGCGGUCAUCGCGGGUGACUUUCUCGACUCGUCGUCAGCCGGGGCCGCAGCGCGGCCGGUGGGGACUGCGGGGCGGGCCGGAGUCCGUCCGAGGGCUCCCGCACCUCGGGCUGCGGCACCAGACAUGUUGGCAUCAUCUCUUAGUUGGGCCAUGUGGCCAGGGAACCCUUCAUGAAACCACCUCUGCAGUCCUGGAGAGUUGCUGUAGAAGAAGGAAAAGAGAGGAAGACAACACAACACAGGAGGGGAUAAGUACCUCUGGACACAAUGGAAGUAGUAGUUGUUGAGCAGAGGGAAAGGGAUAGGAGAAGGAUGUGGACUGCAGUGCUGCAGUGCCAGUGGACAUGAGAGAAAGAUCCCAUAGCCCUCUUGGUCUUGGUUGGAACAGGAGGAAAAUGAAAACUGGACAUCCAUCUUAGGACUUAAUCCUACGGAGACCACAAGCUGGAAGAGGCACUCAAUACUAGCAUGGCUUCUGUGGCAUUUUGAUGAGUAGUAUGGGCUCCACACUGAAAUAUUAAUAUCUUAUUGUUUUGAUGAUGAUGAUGAUGUUCAUUGGCCCAGGGCAAAAGGUAAAGGUUGUGUUAUAAAGCUGAUCUAUUCAAUAUCUGUGGAUGUUAACUCCACCCCAUCCCCUUAUUGAACAAUUACGAUGCCUAUAAAUAUUGUAUUGAGAAAGAAAAAAAAAACUAAGGCAGAAGAUAUCAUAUUACCUGUCCAUAUGUGACAUUUUGGCUGGCCAAGCCAUAAUGGCCAAAGAGGAGCAACUGUCAAAAUUUAAGUGGGGUUAGAAAAGAAGAGAGGAACUUGCACGUUUGCACCUACAAGGACCCUCUUUUCUCCUCUGGUAGCCAUGGAAACCACUCCUUGGACCUCCUUUCAAGAGACUCUGCAUGGGGAGCACAGUUGACUGACAGCUCCAAUUGCUGCUCCUUCGAGUCCACCAUGGCACUCAUGCCCACGCAAUGUUUCCUCCAGGGUUCUCCAGGUAGAGAUGGAGCAGGUGGGGUUGCCAGAGGCAGGCCAUCAGGCCAUCUUGACUGAUGUGGGACUUCUAAUGCUUCCAGGUCUGAAGGCUCACCUGCCACUUCCUGCUCCCUCCUCCUUUACCCUUCACAGGAGUUUCCUCCCCAUAAAUUUCUUGUGUAUCUAGUCCUGUCUUGGCAUCAGCUUCUUGGAGGACUUGAACUGAUAUGCACUCAACAGCCAGUAAAUCCUGCUAAUUCACAAAAUCCUUGAUUAUCAGUACUAAAGAAAGACACUGGGGGUGAAGAUGUCAUCUUCUAAAAGACUUACUGGGGAUAAUCUACCACCAAAUGUAGGUGGCAAAUGCCAUCUUUGAUCACAUAAUGGAAUCAAUGAAGGAGGUUAUUGAUCUGGUUCAGAGGUGACUUUAGAAUGUCCCAAACCCUUUAAAUAUGUGUGUAUUGAGUAUGUGUGCAAUUCUCCUUGAAGAACAUUUAUACCUUUCAUCUCAUUAAUCUACAAAAUUAUCAGCAGUGGCAGCUAAUUGUCAGUUAACUAGGUAGUUGACAAGUCACAUUAACAUGAAAUCU
rnacentral:lncRNA from 1 species